UAUCUCUGUAGAGUCUGCAUAUCAAUAAGCGGAGGAAAAGAAACUAACAAGGAUUCCCUUAGUAACGGCGAGUGAAGCGGGAAGAGCUCAAAUUUGAAAUCUUCAAGGUUUUACCUUGACGAAUUGUAGUUUAAAGAAGUGUUUUCUGUUGAAGUUUCGGUAAAAGUUCUUUGGAAUAGGACAUCAUAGAGGGUGAGAAUCCCGUAUUUGACCGUUAUUUUCAGCUGUGUGAUACACUUUCAAAGAGUCGGGAUUGUUUGGGAAUGCAGUCCAAAAUGGGUGGUAAAUUUCAUCUAAAGCUAAAUAUUGGCGAGAGACCGAUAGCGAACAAGUACCGUGAGGGAAAGAUGAAAAGAACUUUGAAAAGAGAGUUAAACAGUACGUGAAAUUGUCAAAAGGGAAGCGUUUGACACCAGUGUUGUUUUCUCGAAAAUCAAUUAAAAAUGGCUUGAUUUUGUGUUGUAUUGACCUUAAAAGCUUUCUUCACUUUUUUCAUGUCUUUUUUAAUGCACUUUUCGUUUAACAAGUCAACAUCAGUUUCUUUUGUUGUAAAAAGGUCAUUGGAAGGUGGCUUUCUUUUCGGAGAAAGUGUUUAUAGCCUUUGACUUCUGCAAUCGGAGAGACUGAGGUCUGCAGCGUAGAUCCUUCUGGAUUAGAUUCAUUUGUGCUAAGUUACGACCGUUUAUAGACAACUUGUUGACUAUAUUCGAUCCUGUUAGCUUACUCGCUUAUGUAAUUUUACCUACGCUUAGGAUGUUGAUAUGCAUGACUGAUAU
rnacentral:rRNA from 1 species